rnacentral:rRNA from 1 species
AGAUAAGUUACUAAGGGCGUACAGUGGAUGCCUUGGCACAGAAAGACGAUGAAGGACGUGGCUACCUGCGAUAAGCUGCGGCGAGAUGGAUGCAAUCUUUGACCCGCGGAUGUCCGAAUGGGGAAACCCGAUGAGCGAUUCAGCUCAUCAUCAGCAUCUGAACACAUAGGGUGUUGAAGGUAACCUGGGGAAUUGAAACAUCUUAGUACCCAGAGGAAAAGAAAGUGAAUACGAUUCCGUUAGUAGUGGCGAGCGAAAGCGGAGGAGCCUAAACCGGGCGUAAGUCCGGGGUUCGGGCCUGAGCUGUGAAGGCGAGUUUAAGUCGAACUACCUGGAAAGGUAGACCGUAGAGUGUGAAAGUCACGUAGACGUAAAGACGUAGUCUUCUAUUAGGUACCAGAGUAGGGCGGGACACGUGGAAUCCUGUCUGAAGGCGUGGGGACCAUCCCAUAAGGCUAAAUACUCUUCUGUGACCGAUAGUGAACCAGUACCGUGGGGGAAAGGUGAAAAGUACCCCGAGAGGGGGGUGAAAAGAACCUGAAACCGUAUGCCUACAAUAAGACAGAGGGCGUCAAAGCCUGAUGUCGUGCCUAUUGAAGAAUGAGCCGGCGAGUUAUGUUAGCACGCGAGGUUAAACGAAAAGUGGAGCCGCAGCGAAAGCGAGUCUUAAUAGGGCGCAAGUGUGCUGAUGUAGACCCGAAACCCGACGAUCUAGCCAUGACCAGGAUGAAGCAGGGGUGACACCCUGUGGAGGUCCGAACCGACGUUCGUUGAAACGCCCGCGGAUGAGUUGUGGCUCGUGGUGAAAUUCCAAUCGAGUUGGGUAAUAGCUGGUUCUCCUCGAAAUAGUUUUAGGACUAGCCUCGGACAUUGCUUGAGCGGAGGUAGAGCACUGAAUGAGAUUCGGGUCGCACCUAGCGAUACCGAUCUCGAUUAAACUCCGAAUGCCGUUUCAAGAAGUCCGGGAGUCAGACUGCGGGAGAUAAGUUCCAUGGUCAAAAGGGCAACAGCCCAGACCGCCAACUAAGGCCCCAAAGUGUACGCUGAGUGUUAAAGGAUGUGGAGAAGCAUAAACAGCUAGGAUGUUGGCUCAGAGGCAGCCACCAUUUAAAGAAUGCGUAACAGCUCACUAGUCAAGUUUCUCUGCGCCGAAAAUUUACCGGGGCUAAGCGUACCGCCGAAGUUGCGGAUUCGCAGCAAUGCGAGUGGUAGGGGAGCGUUCUGCACGCGCUGAAGUUUGAGCGUGAGCGCAGGUGGAGUGUGCAGAAGUGAGAAUGCCGGCGUAAGUAACGAUAAAGGGUGAGAAUCCCUUUCACUAUUAGACUAAGGUUUCCAGGGCAAGGUUCGUCCUCCCUGGGUUAGUCGGGACCUAAGGCGAGGCUGAAAGGCGUAGUCGAUGGACAGCAGGUUGAUAUUCCUGCACCCGGGCGAGAGUGACGCGGUGACGAAGGGGGACUAGGGCGCGGACUGCUGGAAUAGUCCGUUCAUAGCGAGUACCUGAGACGGUGUUAAGUACAUCGUUUCGUUAGGGGAAACGCCUUGGGUAGGAAAGCAGCGAUGCGAGUACGAAAGUCCGAAUUCCCGCUUCCGAGAAAAGCCGCUAACUUAAUCUCGUUUCGGCCCGUACCGAGAACGGACACACGUGGUCAAGGAGAAUAUCCUAAGGUGAGCGAGAUAACUGUUGCUAAGGAACUCUGCAAAAUAGCUUCGUAAGUUAGCAAGAAGAAGUACUCACGCGAGUGAGUCGCAGCGAAUCGGCCCAAGUAACUGUUUACCAAAAACAUAGCUAUAUGCUAAGGCGCAAGCCGAUGUAUAUGUGGUGAUGCUUGCCCGGUGCUGGAAGGUUAAAAGGAGGAGUUAGGAGC